AAUCGAGUGGAGAAUUCUUUUUUUUUUUAAUUAAAUUUUAAUAGGGAAAUGCGGUUGUGCUUGUUUGCGCGACGAGAUUUCUGAAACAAUCGUACAAAUUAUAAUUAAUAAUUUAAUAAAUAUUAAUAUUGCCGAUGUUGUACCGUUAAUAUUUCAUUUCGAAAUGAAUAUUGCGUUAAAAUUAUUUUCGCAUUUUAAUAUUUUGUAUUUAACGCGUUACACGUUGAUAAGCUGUAGUUAAAAACAUCAAAGCGCAAAAAGUUUGAAUCGUUAUAUAACAUGUACACGCGUACGCGUUUAAUUUUUCAUUUAUUAACAACAAGCUUAUUCAUUCCAUUCCCUUUGGAAAAGUGUGUUUCUAAUAUUUUCGAGAUAAUUUAUUUCUCGACCGAAUCUUUUACUUCCGAUAUUUUAUUAUAAAAUAGAAAGGUUCGUGUAUUCGUUCGCGGAAAAAUUGUUUAAGGGAAUUGAGAAGUACGCGUAAUAGCGCGGAGGGAAAUCCGGGGGAUUCAAAAUGGAAAUUAGUUACGAAUUCAUGUUUUAAUUCCAAUUAGCUUUUUUUGUAAUUAUUUCAUAUUCGCGAGGAGGGACGUUACAACGAGUUCUACUCACUCGGAUUUUUCUACAUUAACGUGAAAAUUCAUUUUCAAAAAUAUCAUAAUUGAUAAUAUCAUUUAAUUUCAAACUGCACUGCUCCCAUUUAAUGUAAGCGAUAUCUUCUUCCACGAUUAACAUUGUUAAUCACAAUCAAAUCAGGGAUAUUAUUUUCGUUUCAAUCGAUUGAUUUACCUUCCGUCGACUUAAUAACAUUUAAUAGCGCGUUUCGUGUAUUCUUGGGCGUACAAUUUUAUCGAGAAAAAUUGUUAAAACAUGUUCUUAUACUCGAUCUUUUUUUUUUCUUUUUUCUUUUUUUUUUUUACAAGAAGAAUGUUACAACAAGCCUAUAAUAUUUUCACUCAACACGGUUAGCGGUUACAGUUAUUCUUAAACCGUGUAAAAAUGUCAAGGACCUUUUCAGCUUACACACAGCCACAUUGAGUGUUCUCGAUUGCUCGGGAAAAUCAAUAUUUAUAACCAGGAAGAUGGUUGGGAAACAGUCCGACGUACGUAACAUCGGAAAUGAGAUUAUAUCGACGUGAUAUCUCGUCGAUUUUUUAUCAUCUAUAAUAUUUAUAUUUACGCAACGAAAUCCCUUUCGUUUCGUAUCACAGUUCGAUUAUUCUUCUUUUUUUUUUAAUAACGUCAAUAUACAUAAUUGAAACCUUACAAGCAAAAUUUCAUUUUCAUCUGAUAUUUGUAAUUUCAUUCCCACUUUUGUACAUUUCCGAAAGAAGGAAACAAAUUUAUUUAAUCGAAAUUGAUAACGUGUAAUUGAAUAAUAAACCAAAUUGUUUGACAUUAUUUCGAAUAAAGUGAUCACACACUAUUUCAAAAAGAUGUUAAGAGAUGUUUGGAAUCAAUUAUUAUAUUUUGAAAAAUUCUAGAUAAUCUAAUAACGCAUUCGAAUAAUAAUUUGUAAUAAUACAAUCCUUCUUUUUUACCAAUGUUUCACUUUUUGCUUUUAAUUCUCCGCUUUAACACUUGAAUAGAUCCCAAUUCAAUAGAUAACAAACAAGAUGGACGAUGGGAUAGGAAGAUUAACUUUCUUCCUUCGAAAUUUAUUUCUUCCUUUCUUUAUGCUUGAAUCUGAUACAAUACUUGUUUCCUGAUUCUAUGUUUUCAACAACACGCGAAGAUAUCAUGGUCGAAUUAACGAAUUCCAUGGAUGGAAGCGAUGCCCAAGGAUCGGGCAUCGGCCAAAACCACCUCGGUUACGCCGAGAGGUCCAAUUCCAUAAAACCCGAAAAUGUUGGUACCCGGCAAACAAACUCCUUGUCUGGUUAACUUUCUCUGUAAACGCCGUAUGGAUGUUGGCGACGAGUUGUAAGUUCGACCGGGUAACCCGUUUACUCCUGUUACACUUGGUUGUGUAUGGGCGAGAUGGAACCUCGUUCAAAUCAAUUGAUAUCGCGCGUGGCUCCCGUACAAAUAUCGCUUAAACCAAAAGUUUGUUCACAAGUUUGACGCCGUUGACGCGCGAAAUGGCUGGAUUCUCGACUGCAGUUUAACACGGUGCUUUAUGUAUUUGCGGAAAAUUUAAAUUGUACGAAAUUUUGUAAAUUUCGCGUCACGAUGUUUCAAAGCAGGAUCAGACAGGUUUAAAUUUCCGUUCAAAUUUCGACGAUAAUUUAAUUAUAAAAUUGUACGAUGUUUUUUCUAAGAUCUUUAUUCAUUCGCAUUUUAUAUCCAUUUAACGCAAUGUUUUCGUUAAUGUAAUAUUAAUUCUAUUGAAUGAAAUCAAUGGAUAGAUCGAUAUGCAAUUUCCAUUGAUUCUCUCUCUCUUUCUCUCUGAUAAAGUAAACUAUUUCGAAUGCGUGACAGAACAUCUUUGUUCGUACUAUUAAAUUUAUCUUAAGAUAGUGAAAUAUAUAUAUCUCGAAGAAACGUGUGCUUCUGUGCGAUUACACAAAGUCGAGAUUAUUCCCUCUUCGAAUCCAAUAAAUACACGGGACAUGGUAAAAUACGUGUUUAAAAGUAUUUGUAGCAGGGUUUGUAGGGCAUUAUUGGAGGUCCCUGGCUCGACACAUGUAUCGCGGUUUAAUCAAGAUAACUUCGAGAUAGAAUUUAUUACAUACCGGCGAAAAAUAAACUAAACUACGAAAUCUGAUUGGCCAAUUGAAAGCCAAAUUCGUUACGAAAUUUAAUUCUUUUAGCUACGAGAAUAUUUUAUACCCAGCUUGAAUACGGAUUUUCGAUUAAAUUCUUUUGAAAAUAAUAGAAAGAGAGAGAGUAACGAGGAAAAUGAUGGACGUUCCGCGAGUUUUGUCAGAGAUGGAUUUUAAGGGGGUGUCCGGAUAGAUUUCUCAUUUUCUUUUUUUUUUUUUUCGACGAUAUAUGUAUAUAGGAUUCUGGGACUACGUUGAAACGAUACAUUUUUUUCCAAUUUAUUCCAUUUUAAAGAUGAAACGGAUCGAUACGGAUUCAAUGUCGGAAGAAGAGACGAGAAGUUACCGGUUUCGCGGCCAAGUCAAUUAACUCCUUCGAUUACGGUGCUUAAAUAGAAUCUCGGCCGCUCGAACGGGAACGCUUUUCAUUUACGUUUAAAUGAGUUUAAUUAAAUGAAAUUGUUACUCUUUUUUCUUUCUUUUUCUUUUUUCUUUUUACAGUUCUAGAUGUAUUACGUUCACGUAGGGCGGUGCAGAUGUGACGAGGAUCGGGGAGAAACGAAUCCCUGAUCGGGAACAGGAUUGAUGGAAGGAAGAGGAGACCUGUCCGGAAUUAUUUAAAAUUUAAAACAAGCAGAGAAAAGCAGCGUGGAUAGAUCCUCAUGCACUCCGCGCCGUAGCCUGAAAUUAGGACCCCAUUUUCUUAGACACCGUGAAACAUGAUUUUGGACAACCCGAGCUCGACCUCGCCUACUAAAUCUUCAAAACUCGUGGAAUCUCUGGCCAACCAGAUCUCGGAAUCCUGAUUUCGCAAGACUCGAGUCGUGGGACUUCGUCCAAGGUCGCGGAUUAUCGGCUGGAUUGGGCCACCGCGGGAUUGUUGAAUCUAACCUAGUAAGGCUUGAAAAUCGAUAGACCUUGGCCAGUAAGAUCCACUCCACAAGCCAUCCGUGGAAUCUUGCCCAGUAAGAAUCCAAGAGUUGUUUGCCGGAACCGGCCUAGUAAGACACCACUCGAACGGAUCUCGGCUAUGAGACCUCACUUGAAACCUUCAACCGUGGAGCCUCGACUUCUCUUCUGCCACCUCUCCUCUUUCAUACAGUUUCCAUGAAUCCGUAAUUCUAUAUCUUGAAAUUUCUCUCCUUCAAGAUUUCUUUCCUUUUUCUUUGUCUUCGAGUUUCCAAACUUUGCUUAGAUUUUAUCGUUCUAUCUUCACAUAAAUCUUCCUAUAUCAUUUCGUGCAGUUUUAAAAACCUCAAAGAAUAAACUUGUUUCACAAGAUUAUAUGAAUUUAUAUAAUUCAUACAAUUCAUAACGAUAAUUAUUAUCGUCGAAUCAAGAAACAAUUCCAAAGCAAAGAGCGCCAAUUUCCUUGCGCCUAUCGCACAACGAUCGAGAGCAAUCAAGGAAAAACAGGCAACGCUAUCUCAUCCCGUAUACAACUUCCUUCUUACCCGCUCUUAACCUAAUUGGCCGUGAUAAUAUUUUUAGCGCACGAUUUUGCCCAUUCCAAACCGCUCGAAUGAAUUUGCCAAGGAAAUUCCACCGGCAGCCUGUUUCCGUAUCGACGCCAUUCCCAAAAAUUUCAAAUCGUGCAGAAAUAACACGAAAUCGAAAACGUGUUAUCCUUGGACGAGGUUCCCUCGUAUUGCAAUCCGUGUGUUAUGUAUCCCACGCUCUACGUGUCCGCCAAGUUUGUUAUUCAAGAGUAUUCACUGAACUUUGGGGAAAGCCCUCGUACACGGGGGCUGUAAAUUCGUCGGCGCUACUACGUGUCGCGGCUUCGCGAUACAUCGAUCUUUAUUGGGUAUAAAACAAGACAAGGGUGGUAAUGCCUCUGCACAAAUGGACAACAAUCUUCGGUGCUCGGUUAAUAUUCCGUGUUUGGAAUUGGAAGGUGUUUUCGGUGUGGGUUAUCGCGCUGCUUGCACAUUUAUCGAACGUUAUUAAGAUGUGAAAUAUUUAGACGACGAAGGUGAUGAUAUUAUUAUCGUUCGA